ACGGAGGGUGCAAGCGUUGUCCGGAAUCAUUGGGCGUAAAGAGUUCGUAGGUGGUAUGUUAAGUCUGGUGUUAAAGCCCGAAGCUCAACUUCGGUUCGGCACUGGAUACUGGCAAACUUGAAUGUGGUAGAGGUAAAGGGAAUUCCUGGUGUAGCGGUGAAAUGCGUAGAUAUCAGGAGGAACAUCGGUGGCGAAAGCGCUUUACUGGGCCAUUAUUGACACUGAGGAACGAAAGCCGGGGUAGCAAAUGG
rnacentral:rRNA from 1 species